rnacentral:misc_RNA from 1 species
UCAACCCUCGAACCUCCGUUUCCUCAGGGAAGCUCAGGGUCGGUGUUGGGGCGCUACGGCGAGUCUUCGCGACCCUCCGUAGGCCCUGAAAUACAGUGGCGGUCCCGCCGCGGUUGCCUUCUGCGUAGUAAGUCUCUUUUGCAAGCUCGCAUUGGGUCCCGGCGGAGGCCUGCCGUCAAACCACCUAUAACUCCAGAUGG